UCUAUAUGCUGGGGGUUUUCUGGCUAGCUAAAAAUGUGUGAGAAAUGAUGAAUCUAUCUGAUUGCAGCCUAUUUAAUGUUUAAUACCUUCAUUAAAAAAAAGGUUGUUGACAGUGCUUUGACUAUCUUGCAGAUUAUAAUGGCAAAACCAGCAUGUGGCCCUAGUAAGAGAGAUAAGCCUAUAGGGAUGGAUGAGGACUAAUUUUGUGUGUGACAAUUGACUAUCUUUGCUUGUAUUGUUCUAUGUUAGGGAUCUUUUGUUCCAUUUUAGUAACAAUUUUGUUUAGGAGAAAAAGAAACAUAUUGCAGUUCAUGCUUUGUAAAUGCCACUCUUCUGUUAUGAUGGACACGUGGUAUGCCCUUGUUGGGUAGGUUUUGGAUUGAAACCAUGGUCGAGUGCUUGAGCCAUGUUUAGUGUGAA